rnacentral:rRNA from 1 species
CGGCAAUAGCUCAAAUUUGAAAUCUGGCUCCUUCGGGGUCCGAGUUGUAAUUUGCAGAGGGUGCUUUGGCGUUGGCAUCGGCCUAAGUUCCUUGGAACAGGGCGUCGCAGAGGGUGAGAACCCCGUACGUGGCUGCCUGCCUUCGCCGUGUAAAGCCCCUUCGA